GGUCGGGUGGUGUAGUUGGUUAUGUACGUAUUCCACUGAACUCGACACCUCAUCAGAUCCAAAAACUAAUAAUCAAUUCAGCACAUCUCGUUAACAGUUUACUGUGACAUAUUCCGAGAAGGUCCUGGGAUCGAGCCCCAGCCUGAUCA